AUUGCUUCUCGGCCUUUUAGCUGAGAUCGCAGUUUAGUUUCUGUUCUUGUCGAAUUAACCUUCGAUAGACAUUCGAACGAAUCUCGUUAAGUUUAAUGAUGCUGAGAUAUUGGCAAAACUCUGAACCGCAGGUGUCUGUCGUGGGGAACGAAGGCGCCUUUCCUUUCCUUUCCUUU
rnacentral:snRNA from 1 species